rnacentral:rRNA from 1 species
UACGGGGGGGCAAGCGGUUGUUCGGAAUUACUGGGCGUAAAGGGCUCGUAGGCGGCUCAGUAAGUCGGGCGUGAAAUCCCCAGGCUCAACCUGGGAACUGCGCUCGAAACUGUGGGUCUCGAGUGUCGGAGAGGAUGGCGGAAUUCCUGGUGUAGAGGUGAAAUUCGUAGAUAUCAGGAGGAACACCGGUGGCGAAGGCGGCCAUCUGGACGACAACUGACGCUGAGAUGCGAAAGCGUGGGGAGCAAACAGG